rnacentral:rRNA from 1 species
AAACCGCUUAGGGGUUAAGCCCGAUGAACCUGAAUAUCUGAAUUGAGAAAUUCAAUACUAUUUUAGUAAUUUAUCUAAACAAUAAAUGAACGAUGGUAUGCACUUUUCUCAUAGUAAGACAUUGCGAUCCAUUAGUAGUCUUUUUAGACGGUUUAUCAAACGGCCUGCAUGGUUAGUUUAUUCUAUCUGUAACACUUGUGUUAUAUGAAUAAUACCGUUGUGGUGACCUGGUAAACAGCUGAUGGAGCUCAUAAAUCAUGCAACCAUGCAUAUGUAUCACGGUUUAUAUAUUUUUUAAAUAUUUAGAUGCAGUGAUAGCAUGUAUUUGAUUAGCAAUGCGAUAGAUUUGGGAUACCUUCGGGACCCGUCUUGAAACACGGACCAAGAAGUCUAACAUGUGUGUAAGUCAUUGGGUAUAUUGUUGAAACCUAAAGGCGUAAUUAAAAUAACUAUUUAAUGGGAUUACAAGCAAUUUAAUACAUUGUUUCUCCAUCCCGGGGCGUUCUAUACGAACAUGGUUUAAGCAAUUAGACCCUCUGUUCAAGAGCGUACCUU